rnacentral:tRNA from 1 species
GGGGGGAGAGCUCAGUGGUAAAGCAUGUGUUUAGCAUGCAUGAGGUCCUGGGUUCAAUCCUCAGUGCCUCUA